rnacentral:rRNA from 2 species
AUAAGCGGAGGAAAAGAAACCAACAGGGAUUGCCCUAGUAACGGCGAGUGAAGCGGCAACAGCUCAAAUUUGAAAUCUGGCUCUCUUUGGGGGUCCGAGUUGUAAUUUGCAGAGGAUGCUUUGGCAUUGGCGGCGGUCUAAGUUCCUUGGAACAGGACAUCGCAGAGGGUGAGAAUCCCGUACGUGGGCGCCUGCCUUUGCCGUGUAAAGCUCCUUCGACGAGUCGAGUUGUUUGGGAAUGCAGCUCUAAAUGGGAGGUAAAUUUCUUCUAAAGCUAAAUACCGGCCAGAGACCGAUAGCGCACAAGUAGAGUGAUCGAAAGAUGAAAAGUACUUUGGAAAGAGAGUCAAAAAGCACGUGAAAUUGUUGAAAGGGAAGCGCUUGCAGCCAGACUUGCCCGCAGUUGCUCACCUAGGCUUUGGCCUGGGGCACUCUUCUGCGGGCAGGCCAGCAUCAGUUUGGGCGGUCGGACAAAGGCCUCUGUCAAGUAUCUCCCUUCGGGGUGACCUUAUAGGGGAGGCGUAAUGCGACCAGCCCGGACUGAGGUCCGCGCAUCUGCUAGGAUGCUGGCGUAAUGGCUGUAAGCGGCCCGUCUUGAAACACGGACCAAGGAGUCUAACAUCUAUGCGAGUGUUUGGGUGUCAAGCCCGGGCGCGCAAUGAAAGUGAACGGAGGUGGGAACCCUUUGGGUGCACCAUCGACCGAUCCUGAUGUCUUCGGAUGGAUUUGAGUAAGAGCAUAGCUGUUGGGACCCGAAAGAUGGUGAACUAUGCUUGAAUAGGGUGAAGCCAGAGGAAACUCUGGUGGAGGCUCGCAGCGGUUCUGACGUGCAAAUCGAUCGUCAAAUUUGGGCAUAGGGGCGAAAGACUAAUC